CCUCCGGCAGCUUCAGCUCUUCUCCAGUUCUUUCGUUUGCACUGCGGGAUUCCUAUUUUACCCCUGUCUCCGUCGAGAAUUUCGAUUCAGCCCUUCACUUCUUGGGUCUUCCUCCUCUAUCGGGUGCUGGGGAGGUACCGCUCCGAUGGAGGCACUGUCGCCGGCUUCACCGUCCUCGUCUCCGACGUUCGAACCGUUGUCGCCGCCGAUUCCUCAGCGAGAGAUCUGCAGAAUCAUUGUUUGGGAGCCAUCGAUGAUGGUGGAACGAACGGGGGGCGAUGUAGGCAAGUGAGAUCGAAUUGAAGCUCGAGGAUCUGACUCGGGACCACUAGUUCGUCGUGGAAUGUUUCUCUCGUGAGGAUCCAAAGACCAGAUGUUCCUUAAAUAUUUUUCUGGUGCCAAGUGAUGAGAUGAUUCUGCCAUGGAUCUAACAUCGAACAAGCAUGCAGGCCUCUCUGGUCAAAGAUACUGUUCUGCAAAUCAGCCAGACAAAGGAUUGCAGAAUGUUGCACAGUUCGCUAAAACUCUAGUGGUUGCUCAGCUGAUAAAUGAGGAGGCAAAUUAUUGCAAUAGGAGAGGAAUGGGAAAAAUCCAUGGUGAUGAAUAUCAGAUCGGAAAGAUAAAGAAGCUCGGUCUUGUUAAGUAUAACAAGGCACAUUCUUAACACUAUGGCGGUCCAUAAGGUUGAUUAUACAAACUUCUUUCGGCUUCUUUCAAAUGUAAAGCCAACCCUAGCACUCCUGAGGUCUUGGAUAUUGGAAAGGAGCGGAAAGAGGCAUGGAACAAAUGGGUAUACAGGAGCUUGCCCCUAGUCAGAUCUCAGACAAAGAAAGUAAAGCAAGAAUGCAUUCAGGGAACCCUAAAUCCACAAUAAGGAAGGAACUAUCUUUGCCAAAGCACCAUAGACGCAGCCGAGGAAGGAGACUUUCUCUGAGGUCCCUUGAUCUCCCUAAAUCUCAGGUUCUUGAUCUGCCAAAACUAUUAUAUAUAUAGUCUGGUUUUGUAUGCAAUUGCAAAGCAAUAGGUAUAAGAUUGUGUUUCGGUUUUACAUAAUCGCAUGUUAUAGAGGAAGAAAAGAUUCCUUUCGAAAAAUGAUUUUCAUAUCGGGUUUAAGAGCCAGGAAAUAAGUGGAGCUAGAACUGAUUAAGGCCUUAGGGUUAGUCGAGUUUGGCUGGCCGCCAUCGCCCGAGAUUCAUACCUCCCCAAACAAGUUGGCUUUUGAAUUGAUUUCUAUCAAUGAUCUCGGAAAAAGGGGUUUAAUUAGGAAACCCCUUUCAAAAAAAUGAUUUUUUUUAGUAUUAGAUAAAGGGUUUGGGAUUCAUGUGAUGUGUGGAUUGACUAUGACUAGAUCUUGGCCUUUCUUUUGCCUCUUUUGCUUGGCUGCUCUGCCCCCUCCAUGAAUUUUCUCUACAGUAUUUAAUUUUACGGUCUGAAAACGUCAACUGAAGCAGUUGGAAACGCCGCAUGCAUGUUCUUAAAGCACUUGCGAGUACGAGAAGACAAGACGAAGACGCGUCUUCCAAGAGAUUCUUCGUCGUCUUUCUAUUGUUCCCUUCUUCUCCACGUUAUGAUUUCAACUCUCCUAUAAAAAAUGCAGAAAAGACCUCAAAGUUAGACAGAACAGGAUGGUUCUAUCACCAAGACAAGAAGUGAUGCAAGUGUUUAUCUUCAGAUAUUGAGAUUUUAUUCCGGUUUUAUUUAAAUUAUAUCUAGGUUUGGUUCAUAUUUAAAAAAUAUUUUUAUUUGGUUCAGUUA